UAUCUCUCGGUUCAAAAACAAAAACGAGAAAACCUUUUUUUGCCAAUUGGAAAACCCUAACCCCUUUUCAGAUUGACAUUGAGAGAAGCUUCGAGAUGAAACCACGAGAGGCGGCGCGGUGAGAACCCUUCAUCGGGACUGAAAUCGUUGUCGAGACAGAGAACGACAGCGAGUUCUGAUUUCGCGAACGCUUCCGAUUCCCCUGCCAUCGUGAACCCUUCUGAGCACCGUCGAGAUUGUAGUGCCGUCAAGAACUUCCCACUGCAGCUUCCAAUUUGCGACAUCCUUACCGUUCGACUCAUGUUGCCUUCGAAGAUUUGAGAUCACACAUGCAACAACUCAGUUUCGCACUUGACCCUUCUAUAUUCAAAGCUUUUAAUUCCUGUAAUUUAAGAGACGAUGAUUGUGGAAAGAGAGCAUUCUUCAAGUAGUGGUUCUUCUGGAAAUUGGCUUUCCCAAAACAAGGAACAUGAGAAGACUAGUGUUGUAGCAAGACAUGUGUGACUCGUGUGAGUACAAAUUUCAUUUGCAAUACUCAUAUCAAUAGUGUGAGAGAGCAACAUAAAUUUUGGUAGAACUAGAAGAAUAGGUAAGAGUUGCUUCUCUACUUGAUGAGGAGAUGGAGCUACAUAAAUAUCAGUAGAACUAGAAGAAUAUACAAAAGCUAAUUCUACUUGAUGAUGAGGGAAGACCACCAACCCCUUUGUGACACUUCCAUUUUUUCAUAAAAAUUUAGUCGAAAGUUUCUUCUGGUGUGGUGCAGAUUUUGCUGUCAUGAUGCCGUGGUAACAGUUCUAAUGUUGUGAAGUUGAUAUUCUCGAAUAUUGACUCAUGGAAGUUUGUGGGAGCCUUAGUCUCUUUCUAUGCCUUAUUUAUGGUUUUAUAAAUGGUUCUUAGGGCUAGGCAGCCAUAAUAUCCUUCUAAUGGUGUGUCCUAGUUAGGAUAUGGUUGCUUAAUGUUUUGUCAGAAUGUAACACAUUUAGGAUGUUAGUCUUUGAUCAUGUAUUGCUUGGGUGAGACACUUAUAUCUUGUAAAGACUUUGUAAGAUAUUGUUUGAAAUUUAAUUGUGAUUAUGAUUCUAUUUGUAAAAUAAUGGAUUAAACAUUACUGAA